AAAGUUUAAGAGCACGCCGGGACCAGGGUGAUCACGUACGCCCUGGCCCCAGGUGGAGGCUCGCCCUUGCACUCUGGCGGGUUGAAACCUGCGACGAUUCCUCAUCGGGCUCGCUCGGGGGCGUAGUUUUUAGCAGUGAGGAGGUCUUCGGACAAUCCCUU
rnacentral:snRNA from 1 species